rnacentral:hammerhead_ribozyme from 1 species
AUUCAUCUGACGAGUCCCAAACAGAACGAAACAUGCGUCCUGGGU